rnacentral:rRNA from 1 species
UACGUAGGGGGCUAGCGUUGUCCGGAUUUAUUGGGCGUAAAGAGCGUGUAGGCGGCCAUGUAGGUCCGGUGUGAAAACUCGAGGCUUAACCUCGAGCUGUCGGCUGAAACCAUCUGGCUAGAGUCCGGAAGAGGAGAAUGGAAUUCCCGGUGUAGCGGUGAAAUGCGCAGAUAUCGGGAAGAACACCCGUGGCGAAGGCGGUUCUCUGGGACGGUACUGACGCUGAGACGCGAAAGCGUGGGGAGCGAACAGG